GUGAGGAAUAUUGGGCAAUGGGCGAAAGCCUGACCCAGCGACGCCGUGUGAGUGAUGAAGGUCUUCGGAUCGUAAAGCUCUGUCAGAAGGGACGAGGGUAGCAAGCAUCAGAUCCUUGCUAUUGACGGUACCUUCAAAGGAAGCACCGGCUAACUCCGUGCCAGCAGCCGCGGUAAUACGGAGGGUGCAGGCGUUGUUCGAAAUUAUUGGGCGUAAAGCGCACGUAGGCGGCAGGUUAAGUUGUCUGUGAAAUCCCUCGGCUCAACCGAGGAAAGUCAGGCAAAACUGGCCUGCUCGAGUGUGAGAGGGGAGAGCGGAAUUCCCAGUGUAGAGGUGAAAUUCGUAGAUAUUGGGAGGAACACCGGCGGCGAAAGCGGCUCUCUGGAUCACAACUGACGCUGAGGUGCGAAGGCGUGGGGAGCAAACAGGAUUAGAUACCCCGGUAGUCC
rnacentral:rRNA from 1 species